rnacentral:rRNA from 1 species
GACGAACGCUGGCGCCGUGCUUAACACAUGCAAGUCGAACGGUAAGGCCCUUCGGGGUACACGAGUGGCGAACGGGUGAGUAACACGUGGGUGAUCUGCCCUGCACUUCGGGAUAAGCCUGGGAAACUGGGUCUAAUACCGGAUAGGACCACUGCCUGCAUGGGUGGUGGUGGAAAGCCUUUGCGGUGUGGGAUGGGCCCGCGGCCUAUCAGCUUGUUGGUGGGGUGAUGGCCUACCAAGGAGACGACGGGUAGCCGGCCUGAGAGGGUGACCGGCCACACUGGGACUGAGAUACGGCCCAGACUCCUACGGGAGGCAGCAGUGGGGAAUAUUGCACAAUGGGCGCAAGCCUGAUGCAGCGACGCCGCGUGAGGGAUGACGGCCUUCGGGUUGUAAACCUCUUUCAGCACCGACGAAGCGCAAGUGACGGUAGGUGCAGAAGAAGGACCGGCCAACUACGUGCCAGCAGCCGCCGUAA